rnacentral:rRNA from 3 species
UACGUAGGGUGCGAGCGUUAAUCGGAAUUACUGGGCGUAAAGCGUGCGCAGGCGGUCUCGUAAGACAGGUGUGAAAUCCCCGGGCUUAACCUGGGAACUGCGCUUGUGACUGCGAGGCUGGAGUGCGGAAGAGGGAGGUGGAAUUCCACGUGUAGCAGUGAAAUGCGUAGAGAUGUGGAGGAACACCGAUGGCGAAGGCAGCCUCCUGGUCCAGCACUGACGCUCAUGCACGAAAGCGUGGGGAGCAAACAGG